ensembl:snoRNA small nucleolar RNA SNORA33
AAGCCAGCCAAUAAGUCUGCUUACCUGAAUGUGUUCUGCAAAAAUUUAGAGAAAGCUGACAAUAGUAAAGCCAUGUUACGAGCCUUAAAGACAUUGAAGUCAUUAAGGUCCCUGAAAAUGGCUAUAAGG